UCCCGCCUCCCCAUCAUGGUGCGCUGUCGAUCCUCCCCCCUCUUCCAAAUUCUUCGGGUCCCACCGUGAUUCUCAGGAUCUUUGGCGUGACUAAAGAAAGUUCAAUGGUUUACUGGAUCUCAGGACCUAGAUUUGGAGUUGUUGGAAUGGUUCAAUUUUUGAGACAUACUGUAAUGUGGGAGUUUGGCGUGUAGAUCUGGGAUUUCUCCCUCAAAUUUGUGGGGUUUUGAUGAUUUUACUUUUUUAUCUCGAUUUUUAUGCUGCAAAUUACUCUAUGUUUCUAGGGAUUGAGAAGGGCGCGGUCCUGCAAGAAGCUUGGGUAUUCCAUGAUCCUUAACUAGAUGUUAUAACAAAAUUAUUGUAUCUAUUAAAUCAAGGAGAAACUUUCACCAAGGUUGAGGUGACAAAGGUGUUUUUUUGCCGUGACGAAAUUGUUUCAGACGAAGGAUACUGGGUUAAGGAGAAUGGUUUAUUUAAUCAUCAAAAGAGCUUUCACCUUCUGCUGAUGAGGUUAGACAGACUAUGUAGUUUUUCCUUCUCCUCUCCAACGCUUAUCGAAGUAUCUGCAGUUCCAAAAAUCCCAUCAAGAACAUGAAAUAUCUCUCAAAGAUCAAGAGUGUGGGGAAGUGGAUAUUGAGGAUUAUGAAGGGUUUUUCCCCUGAUUCUCCCGCUCCUUUGGAGGUUUCACUGUCAAAGGUUAUACGCGGUGUUCAAUUGUAAAAAUUCUUUAUUAACAUUUUUAUGUAAGUUUUUGGAGGAAUCUUUUUAAUCAAAGUUUUAUGCUCGAAAAAAUUGUCUA